rnacentral:rRNA from 1 species
GACGAACGCUGGCGGCGUGCUUAACACAUGCAAGUCGAACGGAAAGGCCCUGCUUUUGUGGGGUGCUCGAGUGGCGAACGGGUGAGUAACACGUGAGUAACCUGCCCUUGACUUUGGGAUAACUUCAGGAAACUGGGGCUAAUACCGGAUAGGAGCUCCUGCUGCAUGGUGGGGGUUGGAAAGUUUCGGCGGUUGGGGAUGGACUCGCGGCUUAUCAGCUUGCUGGCGGGGUAGUGGCUUACCAAGGCUUUGACGGGUAGCCGGCCUGAGAGGGUGAGCGGCCACAUUGGGACUGAGAUACGGCCCAGACUCCUACGGGAGGCAGCAGUGGGGAAUAGUGCACAAUGGGCGGAAGCCUGAUGCAGCAACGCCGCGUGCGGGAUGACGGCCUUCGGGUUGUAAACCGAUUUCGCCUGUGACGAAGAGUGAGUGACGGUAAUGGGUAAAGAAGCCCCGGCUAACUACGUG